CAGUAGCCGCGGUAAUACGAAGGGGGCUAGCGUUGCUCGGAAUGACUGGGCGUAAAGGGCGCGUAGGCGGCUCAUACAGUCAGGCGUGAAAGUCCUGGGCUCAACCUUGGAACUGCCUUUGAUACUGUUUGUCUUGAGUCCGGGAGAGGUGAGUGGAACUGCGAGUGUAGAGGUGAAAUUCGUAGAUAUUCGCAAGAACACCAGUGGCGAAGGCGGCUCACUGGCCCGGAACUGACGCUGAGGCGCGAAAGCGUGGGGAGCAAACAGGAUUAGAUACCCGAGUAGUCCCUGUCUCUUAUAC
rnacentral:rRNA from 1 species